rnacentral:rRNA from 1 species
UGGUUGAUCCUGCCAGUAGUCAUAUGCUUGUCUCAAAGAUUAAGCCAUGCAUGUCUAAGUAUAAGCAAUUAUACAGCGAAACUGCGAAUGGCUCAUUAAAUCAGUUAUCGUUUAUUUGAUAGUUCCUUUACUACAUGGUAUAACUGUGGUAAUUCUAGAGCUAAUACAUGCUUAAAAUCUCGACCCUUUGGAAGAGAUGUAUUUAUUAGAUAAAAAAUCAAUGUCUUCGGACUCUUUGAUGAUUCAUAAUAACUUAACGAAUCGCAUGGCCUUGUGCCGGCGAUGGUUCAUUCAAAUUUCUGCCCUAUCAACUUUCGAUGGUAGGAUAGUGGCCUACCAUGGUUUCAACGGGUAACGGGGAAUUAGGGUUCUAUUCCGGAGAGGGAGCCUGAGAAACGGCUACCACAUCCAAGGAAGGCAGCAGGCGCGCAAAUUACCCAAUCCCGACACGGGGAGGUAGUGACAAUAAAUACUGAUACAGGGCUCUUUUGGGUCUUGUAAUUGGAAUGAGUACAAUUUAAAUCCCUUAACGAGGAACAAUUGGAGGGCAAGUCUGGU